GAUGAAGAACGUAGCGAAAUGCGAUAAGUAGUGUGAAUUGCAGAAUUCAGUGAAUCAUCGAAUCUUUGAACGCACAUUGCGCCCUUUGGUAUUCCAAAGGGCAUGCCUGUUCGAGCGUCAUUUGUACCCUCAAGCUUUGCUUGGUGUUGGGCGGUUUGGUGGAGGCCCCCUCGGGGGCUCCUGCCCCUCCCAAAGACAAUGACGGCGGCCUCGUUGGACCCCCGGUACACUGAGUUCUUCACGGGACACGUAUCGGACACAUGGGUUUACGGGACACGGUCUGCCUCCCCUCAGGGAGAAUCUUUCUAAGGUUGACCUCGGAUCAGGUAGGGAUACCCGCUGAACUUAAGCAUAUCAAUAAGCGGAGGA
rnacentral:misc_RNA from 1 species